UCGGAAGCACUAGCUAUAAGAUUUGGUGCAAGGCAUGAGAAGUAAUGAGGUGGGACUUCCUUGUAAGGAAGGACUAGCCAUUGUUCCUUUGCACUACCCCUGCUCUCUGAACACACUCUCUCUGCUCUGAAACAACUGCUCGACAUCAUUGUUCCUGCUGCUUGGAACAUGUCAGGGGGACCAGAUGGAACCCGAACGUGAAGACUGGGCAAAACGUCGGCAGAGCUCUUCUAAGGUGGUGUUGUCCCAGACAAGGAGGACUCUUGAGAACGAACUGUUGACGGGGGCGGUGGGGGAGGGAAGAUGCGAGGAAAGAAGGCCGGCGGCAUGUCUGAGACCUUUAUCUUGCACUGAGGUUUACCAACCAAAGAUGCAACCAGGGCUGCGUGCGACAAAAGUCCAUGCCAUGGUACGCACAUGAGAAGGAAACAUGUGUCACGGACUUACAUUAAUUUUAGGCCAAUCAGCUUUCCGCCAUCCGUCUCAGUCUCUCAUUCUUGUCCACCACCUUCCAAUAUAUGGUCACCCACACCCCCGCUCUGCCCUUAGCACAGGCAUCCACGUAUGUUCCCGAUGGAGUACUCGCACAACAAAGGAGUCGCACUUUUCUUCAUCCUCUUCAUCUCCUUUGCGCCAUCUCUACGUGCCAGGAAGCUCCUCGGCGAGGCGGAGGAGACGGUUAGACCCAUGGAAGCUGGUCUAGUGUUGAACAUCCUCCCGAGGGGGAGCACGCCUCCGUCUGCUCCCAGCCAAGGUGGUAAUGGCGCGGGUACCGCACGAAUCAACACCGAGAGGGUGCUGGGGUCGGUCCCCAGCCCGGGGAUCGGCCAUUAAUAGCUUCUCCGCUCGAUCAUUAGUUCUUGUUAGGAAGUUUUGGAGGUCAGGUCCAUAUACUACGUUUUUUCAUUGUUCAAGCUGCCUUUCCUUUCUCUUCUUUGGUUCCAUAGUUGGAUUGAUUUGGUAUGUCCUGCGCGACGCAUAAGGGAGACGAGAUGAUGUGCACGCGAGGAUCAAACUCGAUGGAGGGAGUCCAUCGCUACUGUUCACUCGUGUCCCCUCCAUGAACUACGUGACAAACCGGUAGUGUCCUGUGUCAAUCGAAAGCGCGUCAGUCGUAUUGUACAUGAUGAGAUAUACUGUCAAGUUCGUCCCCUUUUUUUUUUC